GCAUCUUCCGAACAUGCUCCAAUGAGGGAAUUAAGGAAGGCACAUUGUCCUUGUAACGUGGAUCCAGCAGGGUGGCCACCCAAUAAUCAGCACAAGUUAGAAUGUGGGCAACUCGGCAGUCAUUGGUGACUCUAGAUAACCUCGGGCCGAUCGCACAUCCCCGUGAAGGGGAUGACGCAUUUGUAUGUCUGCCCUAUCAAUUUUCGAUGGUACUUUCUGCACCUACCAUGGUGACCACUGGUAACGGGGAAUCAGGGUUCGAUUCCGGAGAGUUAGCCUGAGAAACGGCUACCACAUCCAAGGAAGGCAGC